GACGUAGGGCGCGAGCGUUGUCCGGAUUUAUUGGGCGUAAAGAGCUCGUAGGCGGCUUGUCGCGUCGACUGUGAAAUCCCGCGGCUCAACUGCGGGUCUGCAGUCGAUACGGGCAGGCUAGAGUUCGGUAGGGGGAGUCUGGAAUUCCUGGUGUAGCGGUGAAAUGCGCAGAUAUCAGGAGGAACACCGGUGGCGAAGGCGGGACUCUGGGCCGAUACUGACGCUGAGGAGCGAAAAGCGUGGGGGAGCGAACAGG
rnacentral:rRNA from 1 species